rnacentral:rRNA from 1 species
CAGUAGCCGCGGUAAUACGAGGGGUGCAAGCGUUAUUCGGAUUGAUUGGGUGUAAAGGGUGUGCAGACGGCUUAUUAAGUCACUUGUUAAGUUCUUCGGCCUAACUGAAGGUCUGCAAGUGAUACUGAUGAGCUAGAGGGUGGAAGAGAGAAGUGGAAUUCUCGGAGUAGCGGUAAAAUGCGUAGAUCUCGAGAGGAACACCAAUGGCGAAGGCAGCUUCUUGGUCCAUUCCUGACGUUCAUAUACGAAAGCGUGGGGAGCAAACAGGAUUAGAUACCCCUGUAGUCCCUGUCUCUUAUAC